UGUCAGCAAAUGCAGCUUUUCAAAAUAACAGGCAGUUGAGAGGUCAGUGCUUCACCAGACACUGAUAAGGUGAACGUAUCGAACAUUGUACUACAAAGGAAAAGUCUCUGGCCUGUUACAAAGAAAGACAGCCAACCUCGUACAUCCGCCAUUUUGUUUUGACUGUCUUCCGUUUGGCAUCUGAUCAGCUCUUGAAGUAUUCCAGUGGAACAAACAUAUCAAACAUCCUCGGAGACGAAAAGGAAGUAACUUAUAUGACAUGCAUAUCCAUGGCACUACAAGCGAGGAGCGUGGCCAUAGAAUCUAUGAAAUUCUGAAAGCCUUACAGAAAGCAGGAAGAACAGUCUACCAGAAAGAGACACUACCUCACAGUCGAGCAUGCAUAAGAUGGUAAAUAAAAGGAAUUUUGCAGAAA